rnacentral:rRNA from 1 species
GACGAACGCUGGCGGCGUGCUUAACACAUGCAAGUCGAACGGAAAGGCCCUGCCUUUGUGGGGUGCUCGAGUGGCGAACGGGUGAGUAACACGUGAGUAACCUGCCCUUGACUUUGGGAUAACUUCAGGAAACUGGGGCUAAUACCGGAUAGGAGCUCCUGCUGCAUGGUGGGGGUUGGAAAGUUUCGGCGGUUGGGGAUGGACUCGCGGCCUAUCAGCUUGUUGGUGGGGUAGUGGCUUACCAAGGCUUUGACGGGUAGCCGGCCUGAGAGGGUGACCGGCCACAUUGGGACUGAGAUACGGCCCAGACUCCUACGGGAGGCAGCAGUGGGGAAUAUUGCACAAUGGGCGGAAGCCUGAUGCAGCAACGCCGCGUGCGGGAUGACGGCCUUCGGGUUGUAAACCGCUUUCGCCUGUGACGAAGCGUGAGUGACGGUAAUGGGUAAAGAAGCACCGGCUAACUACGUG